UCGGAGACGGUGCUCGUGCGGGCGGUGAUGCGACAUGCGUAUCCGAAAGACUCUCGGCAACGGAUAUCUCGGCUCUUGCAUCGAUGAAGAACGUAGCGAAAUGCGAUACUUGGUGUGAAUUGCAGAAUCCCGUGAACCAUCGAGUCUUUGAACGCAAGUUGCGCCCGAAGCCAUUAGGCUGAGGGCACGCCUGCCUGGGUGUCGCCCAUCGUUGCCCCAGUGCCUUGGCCUCGUGCUAGGCACCGAGCUGGGUGAAUGUUGGCUUCCCGCGAGCAACGCCUCACGGUUGGUUGAAAAUUGAGUCCGUGGUGGAGGGCGCGCCGUGACGGAUGGUGGUUGAG
rnacentral:rRNA from 1 species